CACUUGCUUGUCGUUGGCUUGUCGCUCGAACAUUCCUAAAAGUAAAAUAGGCAGUUUUCUCUAUUUUCUUCCAAUUUUGGACCACAAUAUCUCAUUCAUACGAAAUUGAUUUUGAGAUUUCAAAUAUUCACGACGAUUUACUUGACGAGUAGAACAAAUUGGUCUAUUUAUAUUUAUAAUUUGACCAUCGAACCAAGUUCGAAUAUUUGGCCGAAGUUUGAAAUGAAAGUCACUUUUCCAACUUUUGAUUUCAUACUUAACCAAUUUUAUUCAUUUUUCAAACCAAUUUUCAACAAUCCUCCUUAUGAAUGGAAAUUCGAACGUGCUUAUGUAAUGCGAAGCGAAAAUAUGAUGCAUUGUAGAGAGAGUGGAAAAAUAAUGCAUCAAGCAAGGUAGCUUUCGGCUUGGACCUCCCUUAGUGAAAUACUAUCAGAAUUACUUGGCUAAUUGGUGAACAUGAUGCCUUGAACUAUUCAGUCGUCAGUGUAAGCCAAUACAACAAUACUCACACAAUUGAUUUCCCUACUCCGUUAAUAGUUAUCAUGAUUUGGUUCAUUUUGACCC
rnacentral:lncRNA from 1 species